UACGAGUGCCCCAAGCGUUAUCCGGAAUCAUUGGGCGUAAAGGGUGUGUAGGUGGUUUGGUUAGUCUUCUGUUAAAUAUCCGAGCUUAACUCGGAACCGGCAGAGGAAACGGCCAGACUAGAGGAUGCGAGAGGUGAAUGGAACUCAUGGAGUAGGGGUGAAAUCCGUUGAUAUCAUGGGGAACACCAAAAGCGAAGGCAAUUCACUGGCGCAUUUCCUGACACUGAAACACGAAAGCGUGGGUAGCGAACGGG
rnacentral:rRNA from 1 species